CCUUUGACGUUAGCGGCGGACGGGUGAGUAACACGUGGGUAACCUACCUAUAAGACUGGGAUAACUUCGGGAAACCGAGCUAAUACCGGAUAAUAUUUCGAACCGCAUGGUUCGAUAGUGAAAGANGGUUUUGCUAUCACUUAUAGAUGGACCCGCGCCGUAUUAGCUAGUUGGUAAGGUAACGGCUUACCAAGGCGACGAUACGUAGCCGACCUGAGAGGGUGAUCGGCCACACUGGAACUGAGACACGGUCCAGACUCCUACGGGAGGCAGCAGGC
rnacentral:rRNA from 1 species